UACGGAGGGUGCGAGCGUUGUCCGGAAUCACUGGGCGUAAAGGGCGCGUAGGCGGUUCUCUAAGCGUGUGGUGAAAGUCCGGGGCUCAACCCCGGAUCGGCCGUGCGAACUGGGGGACUCGAGCACUGUAGAGGCAGGUGGAAUUCCGGGUGUAGCGGUGGAAUGCGUAGAGAUCCGGAAGAACACCAGGGGCGAAGGCGGCCUGCUGGGCAGUGGCUGACGCUGAGGCG
rnacentral:rRNA from 1 species